CAGUCGCCGCGGUAAUACGUAGGUGGCAAGCGUUGUCCGGAAUUAUUGGGCGUAAAGGGCUCGCAGGCGGUUUCUUAAGUCUGAUGUGAAAGCCCCCGGCUCAACCGGGGAGGGUCAUUGGAAACUGGGAAACUUGAGUGCAGAAGAGGAGAGUGGAAUUCCACGUGUAGCGGUGAAAUGCGUAGAGAUGUGGAGGAACACCAGUGGCGAAGGCGACUCUCUGGUCUGUAACUGACGCCGAGGAGCGAAAGCGUGGGGAGCGAACAGGAUUAGAUACCCCAGUAGUCCCUGUCUCUUAUAA
rnacentral:rRNA from 1 species